rnacentral:lncRNA from 1 species
AACACAGGAAAGUCAAGGAAAAUAUUAACCUCGAAAUCAAUGGUCAAUCUUUUAAAUCCGAUCAUACUAAACAUUUAAUAAUGAAUUGGACAGAUCAUAGUUUCCUGGAAGGUACGCCGCGAGAGGACGGAUUACGUGGGCGAUCGUACGGGAGUGUGAAGAUGAAAUAGAGGUGGAUGAGGUCAAGGGACUGUUCGGGAGAUCUGAGAGGGUGAAUUUAAGGAACAUCACUUUGGAUGGCCGUGUUCAGAUGAGUCUUUUUAUUUUGAAAAAGAUAAAAUAAAGUAAAUUUUUCUAUUACCUACUACUUGCAUUAUUUCCAGAGUAUUCCAAAGCUUUUACAGUUAAUAUAUGCAUAUCUUUAAAAUUGCUUUUAAUUUAUGAUUAAGUACCUUACCAAAAAAAAAGAUGCAAGUACCUUAAGUUACCGAUGGUGCUCUCAAGCGUGCUAAGGCUUACAUCGCUUGUCUGAGUGCAGUUGAUGCUGUGUUCUUUCAAAAUGGUGGAUGUGCAAAACCGAGAAAGCUUAUUGAGGUUGUCACUCACGUAGAAGUUGUUAUAGCGUUUGAGGACGGAGGACCGGCGGUUGUUACCACUGCUGAUUGGAUACCAACAAACACAUUACCAAGACUAGUGAGGCUCUUGGCUGGCUGGCUAGUGUCUGUGAUUUGAAGGCUGAUAUGGUUGCCAUCAAUGUUUAAAAACCGGCGGUUAACCGGCUGACCGGUAAAAUUUCACUAACCGGUCACCGGUUAGUUGGGGCGGGUAAAUGGGUCGAUGGGGCGGGUCUGACCCGUACCCGACCCGGUUACCCGUCCCUGUUACCCGUCUCGGAUAUAAAUAAUUAACUUAUGGGCUUUAUUUAAUAAAGCCCAUUAUGUUUAAUUUAUUAAAGCCUCAUUUGAAACCCUAUAAGUUCAUUUAAUAAAGCAAUCUUAUUCUUUGCAACCCUAGCCGUUGCCUCCUUCUUCCUUAUAAUUCUUUUUCUCCUCCACUCUCCUCCAUUCACAUCUCCAUUAAACAGGGAUAUAAACAGGGAUAUAAACAUGGAUAUAAACAUGGAAUAGAUAGAUAUAUAAGUAUAUAAAUAAUUUCUGUUUUUAAAAAAAAAAUUACCAAAAUACCCCUACCGGUUAACCAGUGGUUAACCGGUCUAACCGGAUAACCGGUAAGCCAGAACCGGUUACCGGUUAACCGGUUUUUAAACCUUGGUUGCCAUAGCAUAUGGCUUCUUCUGUGCACAGAUGGACAAGGUCGCAAGCAGUAGCACCACAACUGUGGAGAACACCUUGUCGUCCUCUCAUACUCUGAUGAAGAUUCGCAAACAUCAUGCAAUGGCCUUUGGUACUACCGUACUGGGUAUGCUAACUUCAAGGAGUACUCCACGUACUCACAAGCUCAGGGAAGCUGAGAGUGGCAAUUACAAGGCACCCAAUCUUGAGGCCUGACUCUUCUAUGCCAGAUAUAUGCAUUUCUCGUCUUGUUUUGUUAGAUUUUAUCAUGUUUUGAAUUAGACUUUUUAGGUUUUGGCGUCUCUACACGAGGUGUUUCUCUGAUGUGAUUGAUCAUGUGGGCAUUGUGUGAGGCCUACUCAAGUAGUGUCUGAUGUUGUAGACAGGUAAGCAACAAAACAAAACAUAACGAACCUUCCUGAGCCUCGUGACUAGGGUGUCAAGUAAAGCUCGGCUCGUUAAGCUCGGGCUCGCGAGCCCAACGAGCCCCAGCCUAAAGCUCAAGCUCGUUAAGCUCGAUGGGCUCGGUAAGAAGUAUAAAAAACUAAAAAAAUAUGAUAUAUAGAGAGGAUGGAGAUGUAGCACAGAUGGUAAAACGUUUGCUUAGUAUGCAAGAGGUCUCGGGAUUGAUCCCUCAUGUCUCCAAGUUAUUUAUUUUAACCUGCAGGUGAGCCCGGGCUUGCCGAGCUUCGAGCCCGAGCUUGGCAAUUCUUAAAACGAGCCGAUCCUGGAUAACUCCUUAACGAGCUGAGCCUGAGCCUGGCUCUAUAAGCAAAAGCUCGGCUCGGCUCGUUUGACACCCUACUACUCGUGACAUCGGAGAUCGUGUUUUCCAACGCCAUGUCCUUGUUGAUAAGACCAACCAUCGCCAAAAAGUACCACUUGGCCAAGAUUGAGGGGAUGACAUCUGAAAUCGCAACUGCGCAUGUGGACCUGUUCAUCCUUUCUGCAUAUAUCCAAGCCAAGAUUUGGUCUGCAAGUACUCUAAACGACCAAGACCUGAAGAACAGGGCCAUGAUCUUGGGUGUGAUGAGAUGUGCUAUGACUGCGAUGUAUGACCUGAACGUGUCUGACAUCAUCCUUGGUGAGAUGGACAUGGGGUAUUUCAAGUUGAUAGACCAUGUUGAGGCCGACAAGGAGAAAGAGAAAGAAGCUAGUGCAAGCACGUUUGUACGUAGCUCGUAAGCUCAUAGUACAAAUGGACGAAUCUGUGACAGACUCUGGCCUCUUGGGUGCAUUCCCAAGGUCGAAGGUAGAAGACGUCAACGUGAUGUAUGCACUUCGUCUAUGUGGUAUUGCUUGCUUGCCUACUCAAGACUGGUCGAUCCUCCAGACUGGGCAUCACUAUAUUAGUGAUGUUGGAAGUCCCAGCUUCAAGGCGUUCCUUGUGCCAGAAUAAUAACACCUUAGAGGGGCUGGUGUGAAAGAUUUGUUCGGCAAGGAACCUAAUACUUUACGUGAUCUGAUGUGGUACAAAUCUGGGAAUCCAGUGAAUAUGACUGUGAAGAACAGAUUGACAACUAGCAUGAAAGUCAAGAGGUCCCUGAUAGUUGUAAUUAAGUUGUGGCACUGCAAGACUCCCAGCUACCGUUGGCGCUCUCAAGCGUGCUAAAGCUUACAUCGCUUGUCUGAGUGCAGUUGAUGUUGUGUUCUUUCAAAAUGGUGGAUGUGCAGAACCGAGAAAGCUUACCGAGGCUGUCACUCACGUAGAAGCUGUUAUAGCAUUUAAGGAUGGAGGACCGACGGUUAUUACCACUGCUGAUUGGAUACCAUCAAACACAUAUGCCAAGACUAGUGAGACUCUUGGCUGGCUGGCUAGUGUCUGUGACUCGAAGGCUUAUAUGGUUUCCAUAGCAUAUGGCUUCUUCUGUGCACGUACAGAUGGACAAGGUCGCAAGCAGUAGCACCACAACUGUGGAGAACACCUUGUCGUCCUCUCAUGCUCUGACGAAGAUUCGCAAAGAUCAUGCAAUGGCAUUUGGUACAGGGUAUGCUAACUUCAAGGAGUACUCCACGUACUCAUAAGCUCAGGGAGACUGAGAGUGGCAAUUACAAGGCACCCAAUCUUGAGGCCUGACUCCUCUAUGUCAUAUGCAUUUCUCGUCUUGUUUUGUUAGAUUUUGUCAUGUUUUGAAUUAGACUUUUUAGGUUUUGGUGCCUCUACACGAGGUGUUUCUCUGAUGUGAUCAUGUGUAUGGACAUUGUGUGAGGCCCACUCAAGUAGUGUCUGAUGUUGUAGACAGGUAAAAAAAAAAUUAUUCCCUCAUUAAUCGUGUCUGUCAUUUUCUUUUACCAUUUCAUUUCUCAUUCCUUUGUCCAUGGCUUCCAAGUUCCAACCCCUCCGGUGCGUCCUACGAUCUUAGCUCCACCACCAAAUCCACCCUGCAGUUACCUAAAUCUAAUACAGGUCGCGCUACUUGAUCAACUGCGCAUCUUCGGUCCACGUGUUCCAGCUGUGAUGGGCUUGAGUAUUGGGUCGGAGCCCUAUAAUAUGGGUAUCAUCAUUCAUCACCAUUAUUUUUCCAGCUAUUAGUUUUUGUUAUUGUCAAUGGCUAGAAAAUAGGUAAUGGUAUCUGCUUUCACAAAAAAAAAGUGUUAUAUAUUGUUCAUCUUCCAACUGCUCCAUUUGUUUGCUGUUAGAGUUUCUUCGAUAUUUUUAUCAAAUUUCCUUAGAAUUUUGCACAUUGGACAUUUAGACCGAGUAUAUGAUGGAAUAUAUACAAUUCAGAACAAUUAGGUAAUGGAUUUUUUCUGUUAUAGUUUACAGAUCAAUAAUUGAUUGUUUUCAUACAUAUUAUAUUCUCCAGUUUGUACGUAUUUCUAGGGUGAUUUUUAUUCUUGUACUUGUGAGUUCUGAGGUAUAAAGUUUCAAUUCAUAUUUCUUGGCAACUAUAUUGAAUUAUUUAAAUGAUAACUUGCAUAAGUUGCAUUUCUUGAAAUUGUGAAAGUUUCACAUGAGAAACUGAGAAAGUAGCAACUUUCAUUGUUUUACACUUACAUUUUAUAAUUAACUAGAUUAUUAAUGUAACUCAUUCAAUCCAUGAUCUCCAUGCUAUUUGUUAGUUGUUUUUUGGGUCUAAGAACUCCCAAUCAGCCAAUUGUGUGUUUUAUAUAAUAGAACAUAAUUUAUUUAUUUCCAACUGACUUGUGAUUUUCUGAAGAGGGGGGGAGCUGGGGUUCUACUUUCUAUGAGCCAUGUUCUUUGUGAUCACGAACAAGACUGAAAACCUAUAGCCAAUUUUGUUGUUCAGGAAAUGAACUUGCGUGGGCAUAAGAAGGAUUUGAUUUCUUCAUGCUGGUUGGUAUGAUGAUAAUCUUAGUUAUGGUUGUAAACGUUAUGCCUAUUGUUAAGCAUUGUUUUUAAAUCCCGUUCAUAUUGUGCAGGUUCGUUGAAAUUGUGCAUGAUAUGUGUAGACUGAUAGAUAUACUGUGAUUAAUUGUUUGAUGAAAUAAUUUUUAUAGGACAGACGACAGAUAGAUGAGUCAAAAGUCCUGAAUUUUAUAAUAUUUUGAUUGAAUUCUUUCACAUCAACACUGAAAUGACGCAUCAGUUUCGUUACUUAGUAGUUAAAAAAUAAAAUUAAAAAAGACUUGCUGUGAGCCUUUGAGUGUUCACUGCUAUUUUUUUUACCACUUGUAACAUUGUUUAAUAACAUUAAUUAUAAUCAAACAAAUAUAAGUAUUUCGACCUUUUGCUACAUUAUUUCAUUGUGUUUAUAAUAUUUUACAUUAUUUUACAUACGUCAUUUACGUCUAUUGUUUAAAAUUUGGUUUAACAAUUCGUAUAACAUGACACAAUUUAUUUUUACAGAUCCUAUUGUAAAGGAUAAAAUAUAAAACCACAAGGAUCAGAAAAGAAAUAACCCCAUAAAGGCUUAUAUGCAAAUAUCAAUAAGUAUAAAUAUGACACCAUGUAUAUGCAAAGUUAUUAUGAAGUUAAUACAUUAUUUGAGCAUCAUCUCUUAAUCUCUCCGACCACCUUCCUCUACUUCUGAUCAACCCAUCUUCUCCUAUCAACCUCCGGUUAUCUCUUCGCUAAACUCAUCGUCUUCUCAACAUGGUAUCAGAGCUUCAACGCUCCGCUUCUCUCAACUCACUCUCCCAAAACACACCAGUCACCUUCCUCCAGGCAUACACAGCCAACACCAAUACUCCACCUCCGUUCCACUCUGAAUCACAAAAUGACACUGACCUUCUUCUUCCUAAAGGAACCUCCGACAACCCACACCAUCUUCCCACAUCCUACAAUAUCAACUCUCUUUUCCGCAACCCAAUGAACAAAACCGAUUACAUCUGCUGGAAAUCUCACUUCUUAGGAGUGCUUAAACUGCACGACCUCUCCUCAAUAAUCGACACUCCAGACCAGAAAACUAAAACGGCAACCGGUGAACUCAAUCUGGAAUAUGAAAAAUGGCUAAAGUCGGAUCAACUGGUACUCACAUGGAUUCGCUCUACGGUAUCGCCCUCUGUCCAAGCAAUGAUCCUCCAUUGCACGUCGGCCAAAGAAGCCUGGAAUCUCCUGGAUCGCUUCCUAUCUCCUCUGUGCAGUAUUCACCUAAAGUCUCUUCGCACUAAAUUGCGCGCCACAAAGAAGAAGACCGACGUUCCAAUGUCGGAAUACCUGAUGGAAGUAAGAACAACGGUAGAUGCUCUACGGGCUGCAGGCUCAUCCAUAGAAGAAGAGGAGAUCAUCGGCUACGUUGUAGAUGGACUCGAUGAGUCAUACCACAGCUUUCUAACUCAUCUUCACUUCAGUCCCACUGCCUCGUUUGAUGAACUAGUCAGCCAUCUUCUUCAAGAAGAAGACCUACUGAAACGAACAACAACGUCAGCAGCCAACCCAAUUGCAUUCACAGCACAACAACAAUCGAGUCACCCAGCUGCAAACAAUCGCCAACAGAACCCAGCUACAAACCAUCAGCAAAAUAACUACCGUGGUCGCUUUAGAGGUCGUGGCCGAUUUCGUGGUGGCCGAUUCAACGGAGGACACGGCCGAAUGAACAAUUACAACGGACACCCAAACUACCAACAUCCCAGAGCACCAAUCUACAAUCCUCCACCAUCCAACUACAGACACCCAGAGCACUUCAAUCCUCCACUACUCCCAACUCCUGCGUCAAUCGGCGAGCAGGUAUGCCAAAUCUGUAACAUCGCUGGCCACACUGCCAGAACCUGCAACAAUCGUCGGAAUUACGCCUACAACGUAAAUGUCAUCGGCGACGACAUGGCAUCUCUCUCUCUGGGCAGCAGCGCACCAUCUGUGAACUCUGAUGGAUCAUGGUGCCUCGACAGCGGCGCAUCGAGCCACAUGACGCCAUCCCUCGGAUCAUUCUCCGCGUCUCAGCCAUAUCAAGGUAACGAUACAGUAAUGGUGGGGAAUGGGUCACAACUUCCCAUCCUCAGACAGGGCACGAUAUCUCUUCCCACAUCCAUUGGGCGCAUCUCUGUGCCCAAUGUUCUCUUCGUGCCCGGUCUCUCGAAAAACCUUCUCUCAAUUCAUUCUCUGUCAAAAGAUCUAAACUGUGUCGUUUUGUUUGAUGAUAAUGGGUUCAAGGUCAAGGCCAAGAACACGGGGGCAAUUAUCAUGCGUGGCAGUAGUGGCGAUGGGCUAUAUCAUCUGGAUAGCUCCAAGACAGGCGCACUCAAACAUGCGUUCGUCUGCACAAGGGCCACCCUGGUGAUAUGACAUCACCGGUUAGGCCAUCCGGCACAACCGGUUCUGUCCAAAGUACUCAGUUCAGUCUCCCCAAACACAAUUGAUCGUCGACCCUCUACCUUACCGUUUUGCCAAGUCUGUGCGCUCAACAAGGCAAAACGACCGUCCUUCCACCAUCGCACCUACACAGCCAAGAAGCCUUUGGAAAUCAUUCAUCUCGACCUAUGGGGACCAGCUCCGGCGAUCUCCAGAGAAGGAUUCCGUUACUAUGCGUGCAUAGUAGAUGAUUUUUCGAGGUUUUCUUGGUUUAUUCCACUAUCUCACCAAUCGGAUUUCUGCUGUAAUUUUAUCAAUUUCUGUAAUUUCGUCGAACGAUUCCUUUCUUUCAAAAUCAAAACAAUCCAGUGCGAUGCCGGCGGUGAAUUCGUCGGCCGCACCUUUCAAAAUUUCUUAAAUAAAUCAGGAAUAAGACAACGCUUCUCCUGCCCGUAUACGCCUCAGCAGAACGGAGUAGCUGAGCGCAAACACGGACACAUUGGAGACGUCGGUCGGUGUUUCCUACACCAAGCAUCAUUACCACCGGAAAUGUGGGUCGAUGCGUACACAUCUGCCACAUUCAUCAUCAACCGCCUCACUUCAAACACCACUGCCAACAAAACCCCAUACGAACUUCUUUUCAGUCGUAAACCUGACUACUCCAUUCUGCGCGUGUUCGGGUGCCUCUGCUUUCCUAUCACACCCAACCAUCAACGAAAUAAACUGCAAAACAUCUCCAAACAAAGUGUUUUCCUAGGGUAUUCCUCAAUGCACAAAGGAUACAAAUGCAAAGAAUUAGCUACCGGCAGGAUUUUUAUUUCCAGAAAUGUCAUCUUUGAUGAAAACACAUUUCCACUUCAGGCAAGAACCCAAAAAGAUGAACGCAGGGCAUCCCACUUCCGUCAACUGUCUCCAGCAAUACUCCCAUCACCUGCAAGACUGUGCACAACUUGGGCAGAGAACCCACGACUGAGCGAAGAUCAUCUGCAAUCUUCCUCUAUACAAGAGCAAGAAAGACAGUCCGACGACCCCCAUACAGACAGGACAGAGUACAACAAUUCAGAAGCACACUCAGAGGAUUGUACGCCGAAUUCAAACACCGACACUGAACAUCAACCCACAACGACUCAUCCGCCGAACAUCAGUCAAGACAACGAUCAGAGAAAAUCAAAUCGGACUGUCAGGCUACCGGUGUGGAUGAACGACUAUGAAACAGGGAUUAAGCGCCAAAACCUCUCGGCCACAACGGUUGACUCGAAGAAAAUCGGAUUCCCUGAUUCAAGGGUAAUCGGGUCAAAUCAAAACAAAAUCGGGUUCCCCAAAUUAGUUGCAAACACACAAAUAAGGCAACUCCGCGGUCAGGCAAGAAACAACCCGAUUAUACGCGACAACCGGAGAUCAACCACCUGCAACUUCACAAAAACAGAGCCAACAUCGGCAAGAGAGGCACUAACAAAACCAGAGUGGACAGCGGCGAUGACUGAAGAAUUAGACGCUCUCGCUCUCAAUCAGACAUGGAAACUGGUACCGCGACAAGAACAAAUGAAUGUAGUCGGCUCUCGAUGGGUUUUCAGGAUAAAACAGAAGUCUGAUGGAUCCCUUGAGAGGUACAAGGCACGUUUGGUUGCUAAAGGAUUCCAUCAGAAAGAAGGGAAGGAUUAUGAUCUAACCUACAGUCCCGUAGUCAAAGCGGCAACUAUACGCACAAUUCUGGCUAUCUCAACCUCCCGACAGUGGAAGCUCCAUCACUUAGAUGUAUGUAAUGCGUUCUUAAACGGAAGCCUGACUGAAACAGUCUUCAUGGAGCAACCUCCAGGCUUCACGGCGAAGUCGACAACUGCUAAAUCACAUGUCUGCUGGCUGCAAAAAGCAAUCUAUGGCCUCAAACAGGCACCCAGGGCGUGGUAUCAAUGUUUAAAAGAAUUUCUAUACGAAUGCCAGUUCUUCAACUCAAUGUCCGACUCUUCACUCUUCAUCAGAAGACAAGGGAGUGGAGUUAUCUAUGUUCUCAUUUAUGUGGAUGACUUCGUCAUCACCGGCAGCUGUGAAGAUGAAGUCCGGCGGUUCAUUGAAACAAUUUGUCAAAAAUACAAAUGCCGCGACCUUGGAGAACUAUCCUACUUUCUAGGAUUGGAAAUGAAAACAACUUCAACAACCACAACGAUAACCCAAAAGAAGUACUCUCAAGAUCUGCCAACCAAAUUCAAAAUGGCGGACUCCAAAUCAGUGUCGACGCCAUCCAUACCAAAUUCACACCUCUCAGCAAAGUCGGGAACGCCCAUCCAAGACCCAAGUUCCUAUAGGAGUCUAGUCGGGGCUUUACAGUACCUCAGUAUUACACGGCCGGAUAUUGCGUUCGCCGUUAAUCAAGUCUGUAAGUUUAUGCAGGUGCCCACGACAACCCACUGGCAGGCGGCUAAACGAAUACUCAGAUACAUAAGAGGAACCCCCAAUCUGGGACUACAUUUCAUCAAAUCAUCGUCGACGGAUCUGAACAUACUAGUGGAUUCAGACUGGGCAGGGGACCCAGAUGAUAGGCGCUCCACAACAGGGACAUGUCUGUUUCUCGGACCAAAUCCCAUUGCUUGGAUGGCAAAGAAACAGCCUACGGUAUCGCGAUCAAGUGCUGAAGCCGAGUACAGGGCAAUUGCACAUGUUGCAGCUGAAUUAAAAUGGAUCUGCGCUCUACUCAGAGAACUUGGGGUGUACCUGAACAACACGCCGGUAAUCCAUACCGACAGCAGAUCGGCCAUUUUCAUGGCUACAAAUCCAGUCAUACAGGCAAAAACAAGACACAUCGAAAUUGACUACCAUUUUAUUCGCGAGUUCGUCAUCCGAGGGGACAUCAAACUCAAAUUCGUAAGAUCGGAGGAGCAGACAGCGGACAUAUUCACUAAGGCUCUACCGGCAUCGUCAUUUCAACGUCACCGGCAACGUCUGCGACUCACCGGUGUCGAAGGGGGGUGUAAAGGAUAAAAUAUAAAACCACAAGGAUCAGAAAAGAAAUAACCCCAUAAGGGCUUAUAUGCAAAUAUCAAUAAGUAUAAAUAUGACACCAUGUAUAUGCAAAGUUAUUCAGUUAAUACAUCAUUUGAGCAUCAUCUCUUAAUCUCUCCGACCACCUUCCUCUACUUCUGAUCAACCCAUCUUCUCCUAUCAACCUCCGGUUAUCUCUUCGCUAAACUCAUCGUCUUUUCAACACCUAUAAGUUUGAAUAAUAAAAAAUUAAAAUGAAUUCGAUUUUAUUUAAAAUAUAAAAUAUUUGAUAGAGUUGUUUAGAAUUUAGAUACAAAUUAGAAUUAAAAUCUUAAAUUCAAAUUUAAAUCAACAAUCUGUAAAAUAAAUUUAGAUGCGAAAUAAUAUCUUAAUUACUUUAUCAUCUAAAUAUCUAAUACAUCUAUAAAGAUAUAUUAAACUAUUAAAGAUUUAUGAAAUAUAGUUUAUAAUUUAUACAUCCGACCCAUUCCAUUUGGCUCAAUAUAUUCGAUUUAACGACUUAUCUUUACUUAUUGUUAGUUGGUUAACCUUAUUAUAUUAUAUUCAAUUAUUCAUAAUACAUAUGACUUUAACUAUUUUAUUUUUAUUUUAAUAUCAUUACAAAAUUUAUAAAAAUACUUUAUUAAUAAUAUAAAAUGAUAAAUAUAUAAUUAUAUAUUUCGUAUUUUCGUAUAAUCGUGUCGUGAUUUCAGAAGUAAAUAUUAAACUACAAUAUUAUACCUUCAAUGUUAAUGUGACAUUAUUAUGAACAUAUUGUGUUUUUAUCAUAUUAAAAUUGUGUUGUAUUAUUUUACGAAUUGUUUACACUUUCCCACCGGCCACCACUUUCCCACCCAAUCAUUCUCUUUUUCAUUUAUAAAUAACUCUUCUUGUCAUUCCUCAAACUCACAAAACAAGUGGAGGGGGAGGAUCGAUAACUGGAUAAGAAGCAAGCAAGUGAAGAAAUCGAUCAAGAAUGGCUGAUUGGGCUCCUGUUUUGAUUGCGGUCGUGCUGUUCAUACUUUUGUCUCCGGGAUUACUGUUUCAGAUGCCGGGAAAAGGCAGGUUGGUGGAAUUUGCAAACAUGCAAACCAGCGGUGCGGCUAUAAUGGUUCAUGCAAUCAUCCUCUUCGGUAUCAUCUCGGUAUUUCUAAUCGUCCUUAAUGUCCACAUGGACGUCGGUAACUCUUAAAAAACACGCAAGUUGGUAGACUAGAUGGAUCGACGAUCAAUCUCUCUGAUCUUCAUAGUUUAAUUAGUUUCAAAUUUAAACUUUUACAUGUGUAAAUUUGGAAUUUUUAUGAAGAUCGUCGAUGAUCAUCAACCCAUAAUCUUUUUUCUUUCUUUCUAUGCAAUCAGUCGAUUUUUCAUUAGUUUUCAGUCGAUGUUUGUCUAUUUGGGGUUCAAAUUUUCUAAAAAAGAAUAUCACUUGAUCGAUAAAUAAAUGAAAGACUGAAUGAUUGGUUAUUUGGUUUGCUUUUUUGGUACUGUUGGGUCUGCUUUGCAUAUUCUAUAGUCAAUGAAUAUUAUAUAUAUUUUGAUGAGGUUGCUCAAAGAACUUUAUUUUUAAUUUGUAUUGUAUCCAAUAAAUCCGUCACAGACCCAAAAAAAAAAAAAAACAAAAAAAAGUAAAUAAAAGUGAGUUUGAUACUUUGAUUCCUUGUUUCCAUCUUGGAUUAUUGGUUUGGUUGUGGAUUAUUAUUAGGGUUGUUUCCAUCUUGAUACGUCGAGUUUUUGCUUAUAGAGUCGAGUUCGAGCUCGAUUCGUUAAGAAAUUAUCCAGGUUCGGGUUCGGCUCGUUAAGAAAUUGUCCAGGUUCGAACUCGGCUUGUUAAGAAAUUGUUCAGGUUCGAGUUCGAUUCGUUAACAAAUUAUUCAGACUCGCUCUAUAUCUAUAUUUAGUUUUAAUAUCUCUAAGUCUUAACGCGCUUAUUUAAGCCGAGUCAAGCUUGGCUCGAGCUCGAGUCCAAACUGAGCUUUAGUUGACACCCUAGUUAUUAUGUUUGACAAACACUUUACAUUUAAUCAUAAUAACAAACACCACAGGAAGAAAAACGAAAUAAAAAGAGAUUAUAACUAAUUAGGAUCUAGUUGUAUGUAUAUUUCCGUUUCUUUUAUUCCGCAAAUUUACCUAAGCUCAAGGGUAAGUGUGCAAAUGAUUCAAUAAAGUUGGUGGGCUAAAUGUCCAGGAAGGACCAACUGACUGACUGACUGACUGACUUGAAAAAAGCCCAGAGAAAUGGAAAGAUCGAAUAGUUCAAUUACGAAUCAAUUAAUAAGUUGUAACUAAGUUGAUUAGUUGUGACUUUUUAAGCUCGUUAAGACUUAUAGAUAUUUAAGGUUGUCAAUGGGUUCGGUACCAGACCCGGACGUUCGGGCCCGAGUCCAAUUUUAGGCCCGGUAAAGGGUUUAGACCAGGAUGUCCGGGUCCGGGUUCAGACCCGGCCAAUUAAUAGUCCGGGUCCAGAUUAGCCAGAUCCGGCUGGACCUUGACCCGGACCCGGCUAAUUUAAAUGUUACAAAAAAAAUUUAAUAUUUAAAUAAAUUAAUGGUUUAAAUAUAAAUAUUUUAUUGUAUAUUGUUUCACCAUUUCACCAUGGUUAUUUUUUUAUUUACUACUUAGUAUUUAUUCAUUCUUUUACCAAUAUUAGGGUUAAGAUUUUACCAUUUCAACACCCCUAAAAUGCAGGAAGUAUUUUUCUUAUCUCCCUCCAAAUCAAAAUAAUGCACUUCCAAAUGAAAACUUUUAUAAUUUUUAGAUAAAAAAAAUUUAAUUUAUUUGGACCCGGACUCGGCCUAUUAACAGCCUUAUAGAUAUUAAAACUAAUCUAGUAGUUGAUUAGUUGUGUUAAAUUAGUAAAAGUUAUACUCUUUUAACACACAUUAAUAUCCAUUGUUAAAUACUUUUCAAUUGUUGUUCUUUCCUUUUUCCACACAGCAAACAACACCAACAACCCUGGCACUCCGGUUGACGACGACACCUCCUUUGCGUCCAACUAAAAUACACAAAAAUAGACAAAGAAAAGGAGAUGUCAAUCAACAUUACAUGAUAGGGAAUCAAUCACCAUAUUAUCUGACAGUCGGCGAUCACCCUAAAGCGCAAAUGGCCUUCGACAAGUUAAUAAGAGAAACUAGAAAGCAACUACUUCACUUGGGCAAAUGUGAUGAGCGCACCUUACCUGUCGAUCGGCCAGAAGCUUUGGAUCUUAAGUUGCAUUCUCCACUCCUUUUACUCGAUAGUGGUUGUUCGCUUAGAAUUUUAUGUCAAAUGAUCAAUUCCCACCCGCUAUUUAUAGAUCUUCUGAAGGACAUCGAUCUGAUCCAUGAGCCAGCAAGGAUGAGUCGGUUAUUAAUAGGCCUGACAAUUCGUAUUGACACGAACACGACUGACACGAUUAAUUUUUUCGUCGACACGAGCACGACCCGUGUCAAAAAAAAUUAACACGAACACGACACGAUACAAACACCGAUACGAUUAGGGUGCCAAACGAGCCGAGUCGAGCGUUUGCUUAUACAGCCGGGCUCGGCUCGUUAAGGUAUCAUCUGGACUCGAGCUCGAACUUAACAUGUAGAUUAAAAUAAUUAAUUUGAAAACAUGAGAAAUCAAACUCAUGACCUCUCACAUACUGAAAAAAUGUUUUAUCAAGCUACAUCUCUAUUUGAUAUUUUUAUAAUAUUAUAUUUAAUUAAUAAUCGUUUCGUGUUAUGUAAUCGUGUCAUGUAAUCGUGUCGUGUUAAUUUACGUUUCGUGUAAUCGUGUCGUGUUUUUAAAGACAAACAUUAAACCGACACUAUUAUUAAUCGGGUCAAAACUUUCGAUACUAACCUGACAAUAUUAUAAAGGUGUUGUAUUUUUUUUUACGUUAUUGACACCUCUAGUUACUAAUUACGUAACCGAAUAACUGACUAUACUCUGUAAAACAGAGAACACAAAAAGGAGGAGUCAGAAUAUUUUCUGAUAUACUUCAGUUAAUCCGUUCCUUCUUUUUUGAUCUUCUUCUUUCCUUGUUUUUCUUCAACUUCUGGUGGAUUCCAAAUCUAUAAAGUGGUAGAUUUUGGCGAUAUUCCUCUUUUGUGAUCGACUUCCGUCCUCGCACGCUUGUUCUUACUUUCGUUUUACGUAAAUUGUAAUUCAUCUAAAAAUGGUAAGACUUUCUGGAUACCUCGAGAUUUGAUUAUGUGAGUGAAAAUCAAGACAAGAAAGUGGUAAGGCAUGUGAACCAAACGCAUCAAAUUGAUGCAGCACUAACUUUUUAGUUCCUUCCUUCCUUUUAAGUUUUAAAGUUUAAACCCCUCAAACAAAACCAUUCUACUUGUAAACUACGUGCUAUCAAAUUUUAAAACGAAGAGUCGUAUUUCAAGUUUCAAACUCAAGGCACGGAGAUCAAGCCAUCUGUGAUUAUGACCGACCCUCGUGACCUUCUCCUCGUUUCUCGAAGCAGCCAGCUCUUCCUCCACCACAACCACCGCCCACUACCACUACACCCUCAUAUCAUCUAAAAGACUAAAACCGCCUCUUUUCUCUCUUAUUAUCACGGUUUGUUGAAAUACAGAGGGAAAAUGGCUGAUUGGGGACCGGUGCUUGUAGCAGUGGUGCUGUUCGUGUUGCUGUCGCCGGGGCUUCUGUUCCAGUUACCGGGAAGGAACAGGUUUAUCGAGUUCGGAAACUUUCAGACGAGUGGUGUCUCUAUUCUUAUCCACACAGCCAUCUUCUUCGGUCUGGUUGCCAUUUUCCUGAUCGCAAUCGGCAUUCAUGUCUCCGCCGGCUGAUAACAACUGACAAACAAGUGGACCAUGGAUGGAUCGAUGUCUGCAUGCAGUAAAAAUUAUCUAAUCUAUUAAUCUACUCUUUUACUUUUAUGUCUGUUUUCUUUCUCUAACUUUAAUACUCUAUCCAGAAUCCAGAUCUGCUUGCUUUUCUUCCUUUGUUUGCAUUUUAAAAGAUAAAUAUAAACAUCCUUUGAUUAACAUUUAACCCACAUAUACAACAGAGAUUUACGAACGAUAUUUUUACAGAUUCACCUGAAAGAGGUAGUUGGAGAUUACUUUAUUAUUGGGUAGGUACAGUAUGAAUCGGUUGCUUCUUCUUUUAACCAAUCAUUCUUCAAUGGUAGGAAUGUUGGGAUCUCAGUUGACCUGCACAACAACGAAAUCGAGUUAGUAGCAAAAUUUCAAAAGGAUUGGGGAUUGAAAUAUAACCUCAUAGCAUGAUGUAAUUAAGAUUUAGUAUAGCAACUAGUAAUUCAUAUUUAGCAGUCGUUCUCUGUUUUAUCCAACGAUCGCGGCAGCAAGCCAAUCAAUAUCAGCUAUUUUUCAGAGCAAGUAGUCAACAAACAAAAAACCGAUCAUGAUCACAAUUCACAAACCAGUAAACACCAAUCAAACUACGACACUUGACAAAGAAAUAGGCAGUUAAAUCUUUGAAAGAGAAAGAAGCUUAAUUUUUUUAAGCACGAGUGCACGAUUCUUCCGGAACCUACCUUUUUCCUUGGGAGAAGAAUUACAAUUCUGGUGAGGGAAUAGAAUCGCCCUUCCUAAUUCCGAAACAUUCGAAACGAACCCUACGAAGCACAGCACCAUCACCAAUCCGACAAUCCACGGCAUCAUAAAGAACCCGAUAAAGAAAGUCAUCCACCCUCCGAGCAUCAACGUGACAGAGAUCCCCAGCAUAAGCGUCGCGAUUUCCGUCGGGGAAGCCUUCUCUGGUUUUUCGCGAAUAACAACUUGGCGGACACCUGGAUCGGUGAUCGUGAGAGGUGUGGAGCGGAUGAGAGUAAGAGCCAGUGCACAUAGAGAGUUGAGAGCGCGAGAUUGCUGAUCCCGAUGAUGCAUGCGGUCUCUCAUGAUCGGAAAAGAGAGAAUUCAAACCCUAAAUCGGAGAAGGGGGAAUGCAAAGAUAAAGUCCCAAAAACGAUGCUGAUUGCUAUUUGCUAAAACAAGGCAACCAGGGGAUCGUUGAAUGUGGAUCCUUUUUUAAAUAAUUUACGUUUGAAUGAAAAAAAAUUGAGAAUGAAAAAAUUUUGGGAAGAGACUUACUUUUAUUUCUCUCCAGCCCAGCCCAGCCCAAUCGAAAGAAAACAUCACCAGAAGAAGAAGAAACUGCAUGGUUUGAAAAUUGAAUCAUUGGGAAAAAGAUCCAUCGUUGAAUCACGAAUCAAUGGUUUAAAAAAAAAGUUGUAUAACUUAUAAGUUCAAAUAAUUGAAAAUCAAAAGGUGAUCUUUAAUUUAUUCCUUUUGGAUAAUGACAUCAGAUUCAUUAUUUAUCUAUAGUCGGAUGAUUGAAGAGCUGAAUGAAGAAAGACAUGGGGAAGAAGAAGAAGAUGGUGAUGGUUUCCUCUUUUAGCGACGGAAUGGAUGAUGUAUUCAUCCAUGAACCAUCGCCGGCGACGGUCAAGAAAAUCAACAUCACAGGUGGCCGGUCCGGUUUCAUUGGAUUCAAAACCGCCGUCGACAACAACGUAGACAUAAAGGCAGCAAAUUAUAUCAUGAGAGUUCAGGAGAGUUUCAAAACAGCUCAAGCUCAAGCUGCUCGGAGAUCGUAGUAGUUUCCUGUUGUUACUAUUAUUGCUAUUAAGUU